GGCCAGACUCCUACGGGAGGCAGCAGUGGGGAAUAUUGCACAAUGGGGGAAACCCUGAUGCAGCGACGCCGCGUGAGUGAAGAAGUAUUUCGGUAUGUAAAGCUCUAUCAGCAGGGAAGAAAAUGACGGUACCUGACUAAGAAGCCCCGGCUAACUACGUGCCAGCAGCCGCGGUAAUACGUAGGGGGCAAGCGUUAUCCGGAUUUACUGGGUGUAAGGGGAGCGUAGACGGCAUGGCAAGUCAGAUGUGAAAGCCCGGGGCUCAACCCCGGGACUGCCCUUGGAACUGCAUGGCUGGAGUGCGGGAGGGGCAGGCGGAAUUCCUGGUGUAGCGGUGAAAUGCGUAGAUAUCAGGAGGAACACCGGCGGCGAAGGCGGCCUGCUGGACCGCGACUGACGUCGAGGCUCGAAAGCGUGGGGAGCGAACAGGAUUAGAUACCCUGGUAA
rnacentral:rRNA from 1 species